rnacentral:lncRNA from 1 species
CAUGUUUUGUGAGAUCUCAACCUUCCCCCUUUACCUCUUAGACAGUGUAAAAGAAAAACCAAACACAUAGCAAUACCACAGUUAAAAUCAGUUUAAAAGAAGUCCGAUUCCGAUGUCAGAAAAGGUAGUAAAACACUAGUAAGCAAAAUGACAUGAUACAUAAAUAAACAAAUAACUACAAGUAGUUAGUUACUUACAAGCGCAGGACCUCAAAUAAACUGAUUGAAAGAUUAAGUCUUCGUCAUAUGAAUAAUUUCAUAGGAGUUAUUGCCCUUUAACAAAUAAGGAUUUGUUUUACCUUUUAAGUUUUGAGCAAACACUAAGGAAGAUGGAGAGAAACUAAACAGACAAAAUGAUAAGCAUAAUAAGAUCAGCA